UUUUUCUUUUUCUUCUUCUUUUUUUUUUCCUUUUUUCUUUCUCUCUCUCUCUCUCUCUCUCUCCCCUCUCUCUCUCUCCCCCCCCCCUUUUUUUUUCCUCUUUGGUCUCAGUCAUGGGGACACCACUGGGAAUGGAGGGAAGCCAGUGACUGCAUGCUAGAAGCUUUCUAAGUUGCGCACUGAUAUUCCAGGCCGGCUGUGCCUGAGCCAGUGUGGGCUUAAGUUCUUCACGGCCCCGGGGCCCUGGGAAGGUGGAGCCAGCUGCUUCUCCCCGAAUAACUGGGAGGUGAAACAAGAAGCUCUAUGACGCAGUUGAUCGAAAAUGACACAGACACAGAAAAGUCAGGACUCGGCCCCCUCCAGUGCCUCCACCUGCUGCCCACGGCCAGAGUGCAGAUGGGCCAAGUAAGCAGCAGAAAGCAAAAGGACUCGGCUGAAGUGUGCAGCCUCCAGCAGCUCUCCCAUCCUUCAUGAACUGGAUCCGGAAAGGAGACUCUCAGGAGGCUAGGUACAAUGAGGAACUCUGGAAAUAUUGCAAGAGGUCACCAAAGGAAAACUCUGAAAGGGGAAAGAGAGGGAAACAAGCUAGAGAUCCUCGUACUGCAAGAACAACACAGCAGUGGGGUGUCUACCCCCUUGUCCAACAGGAGAAGGUGAUCUAGGCUUGGCAUUUCCUGCUGCCCAACCGGGCUCCAGAGGAGAACCAACAGAGGUUCCCUCUUUUUGGUGGGCCUGAGAUUCUCUUCUCUCACUGACGGACACCUGGAAUGACCAGAUGAUACCAAAAAAGGGGGUUACGGCAUAACAAGCAACCUCGCCUGGGAAGAAGCUUUAUUGUCUCCAUGGACCCAAGAGGACCCCUUAUCUAGAGGCACCGGGAGAACCAGCCUGAGGAAUUUCCUUCAGCCCCCUCAGAGAGUACGGGUAGGAGAAGCCGUUUCCGGACUCAUCACAAAACCAGCACCACGGGCAGCAUCGAACGUCCACGGAGCCCUUGCAAUGUGCUGAGCGCCAUCCCAGGAAGCUGACGCCCGCGAUCGCAUCCGAUCCCUGCCACGACGCCUGUGUGACAUGAGAAAACCAAGGCCUCGACCGGCUGGCAUCCCAGCCUUUCCAGUUGGUCUCCUUUCCUUCCCAGUUGCUGGGGUAGCUCCGAGUGGGCAGGAGACACCCCAGCUGUCCUCUGGCAGUGUGCCAAGUCACCUCAUCCUGCGCUUUUCUAAGAUGGGAGGGUCGGCCUGCAAAACGACGAAGAUGGGGCCCGCCACUCUUAGAAGGUCUGCCUCAUUCCCUGACACCUAGGGAGUCACCCCAGCCUGCUCCGGCCCAGCUCUGGGUCAGCACAUUCAGCAAAUCAAGUGCAGCCGAGGCCCGGCCUUCCAGCUCCAGCCUCCCCGCCUCGUCACACGCACCACCCCUCCCAGCGGAGCCUGCGCUGGUUCAUUUCCACGUCCGCCGGGUGGGCUGCCUGUCAGAGGGUUUUCAUGAGAUGUCCGGUUGCUGCAGACUCAGUGCCUGACAGGGCGGACACUCAGUAAACUGCAGAUGCCCCUCUAGUAGCCUGGAGCCAUCAGGCCUCCCAGGAGCCUGUUUGUCAGGAUAGGAAGCUUCCAGGCUCAUUUCAGCAGUGUGUGGACAGAGCCCCACCGGAUAGAUGACCCUGAGAACUGGUAGGGAGAGAAGAGUCAGCUGGUUCUCACCUCAGAAAUGAGAAGCCUUUUCUCCCCACGUGAGAACAGGUGGAUGAAGACGGGACUUCACAUCAUCCAUCUUCCGCGAAGUCACUUACACCGUGACCUUGGGCAAGUGGCUCAGCUUCUCUGAAGCUCAGUCUCCUCUCCUGCAGAAGGAGAGUGGUGGUCUGAACUUGCCUCUAGGUCCUCGAGGCCGCAGCCUGCCCUGUGCAACCAGCUGGGGGAGUUUUUGUCAGCCAGACUCCAUUCCAGGCCUAUUACAUGAGAAUCUGUGGUAGGUGGACUCGGGUGAUUCCCACGCCCGUGGCGGGGAGGGGGGUUGGAGGUCCUGGAACAGCUGGCUCCUCCCCUCGGUCUCAGCUCUGACGUCUGUGAAGGCCCGAGGCUCCCCACCCAACUCCCCCCACACACCCUUGUCCUGUUUGCCACAGAUUCAUUUCCUGACUUAAGGAUGGACGUGUUUAGGCCCGAAGGCCCCCGAGAGGGAAAUGUCUACUCACUUUGUCAUCCUGCUUCCCAGGGGUGUCCUCCGGGGACAGGCCCUAGGGGCCCAGAUGGCUCUGGCGCCUCCGUCAGGAGGUGUGGGCCUCCAGGACAGUGAGGACAGUCCCUGGGGACAUCUGAAGGCCUCUCAAGAGAGGGUGACAACAGACUCAAAAGGGAGAAUUCCUGCCAGUCAUAAAUUAUCCUCUCCGACGCCGAUGAUUUUUCUGUUGUUAGAGAUGAUUAUUACAGGAGUGAACAAUGGCCCCGCUGUUCUUUCUCUGCUGGCUGAGAAGCAGGACAUCUAGCUAGCUCCCGAGUCACCUCACAGCAGUAGGCAUGGAAAAUAUCGACUUCCUUCUUAUUUCUUGAUGCUCGUUGCUUUUCUUCCUUCGUUUCUUAUCACCUCUUAGGCGUUUUCAUGUUCCUGCUCUUCAUUCUUCACGCGAUAAUGCUUAUUUAAUUUUGAAUGUUCUCUUCCGGUCAAAAGUUGGCUUGCUGGGUCCAGACCAAAUGGAAACAAAUAUGAUGAAAUUUGUGCUAUGCUGAAGGGCGCCUGGGCGGCUCGGUCGGUUAAACGUCCGACUCCAACUCAGGUCAUUAUCUCACGGUUCGUGGGUUCGAGCCCUGUGUCGGGCUCUGGGCUGAUGGCUCAGCACGGAUUCUGCGUCUC